CUCGCAGUACUUGGGGCGAGCCAGGCAAGAUCUCGCGAGAUGCUGCCGCCCGGGCCUGUGGGCGGUUUCCCUGAGGGCGCGUGGUACCCAGGCCCGCGGCGCUUUUGGCUGCGGGGGUGAUGCUGGGGGGCUUUCCUGUUGGACCCCGCGCGCGCGCGCGCUUCCGGAGGCGCUGGCCGUGCGCGCUCCCGGCGGGGGCCUGUGAGCGCGCUCGCGCAUUCCGGGCGGGCGAGCGCCCAGCUGGUCUCGGGUACCCGGCGCCCGCGUUUUAGAUUUGCAUAACCAAAGAGUAAUUCCAGCCGCGAUGCGGUGGGUGUGUCCACGCUGGAGUGACACCUUGAUUUUUUUUUUUUUUUCUUUAAAAAGCCGGGGUUUGAAGGUGGCCAGGGAACCUCGUUCCGAGGUUGGAAGACAAUUUUUAACUUCGCUGUUAGGAAACGCAGCUCUCUCGGAAUAAAGUGACGGCAGCAACCGAUGCUACAAUUUCAAGGGGGUUUUCCGUUUGGCUGCGGUGGGGAAGAAUUCCUCAGGUUGGACACAAAAAGCCACUCCUGCUCUGCAGGCUUGAUUUCUCCGAAAAUGUAAAGGAGGGACACCUGUCUUAGUCUCAGUAUUCGCCUUUAACUUACCACCUCUCCAAAGCCCUAAGAGAAAACCCUUGAAACUGCAGCGACGCAUCUCGUUAGCUUGUAAGAUAAAAUCUCAGGACUUUCCAUCGCCGUGACCAAAUGACAGGGAGCAGGCGUGACAUUCUUCUGCAGAGAGACAGACAGAUAAUAGGCGGCCUCUUAGAUUUUAGUUUUGCUGAUCUGCUCACUCAACCUCUGUACCAACAAACUAUCCCCGCCAUCUUCACCUUAAUUUCGUGUGGAACUUCCUUGUUUUUGAAUGGAAAAGAAGUGCAAGUUCCUUACUGGUAACGGAAACACUUUUUAAAAUGAGGAAAUAAGAGUUUUCCAAUUCUGUCGUUCAGAGAAAGUUGUUGUUGACGUUUUUGUUCAGACGUUGUCAUCAUUUCCGUGUGCCAAUGUACAAUGCAAAACUCACAAAUGGGAUCAUAAUUGGACAUAAACUCCCAUAAUUUUUUUAUUUACAUAUAUUAUGUACACAUAACUUUACUGAACAUUUCCCCACAACAUGAUUUAUAUUGCUCAUCUAAUGUUGAAUGUUUAGAACAUUUCGGGUUUUCUGGUGCUUGAUGCUUGUGAAUAACUGUACAUGUAAAUUGUUCCCAGUUUCCUUAACUUAUCUUUUUAGGGUAAAUCAUUCCUAGUUUCCUUAUCUUUUCAGGUAUAUACUUACAUUAUUUGUCUAUUGGUUAGAACUCUUAAUUUCCAGCAACAGAAACCUUACUGGGUUUAACAAGAAGAAAUUCGAGAAGAAAAAGAAGAGGAAGAGGAGGAAAAAGAGGAAGAAGAGAGUGCAGGGAAGAAGAGGGGAGAGUUGAAAUACAGGAGUGUCUUCGGGAGCCUGCAAAUGAAGACAGAGUUGAAAACACUCUUGAUUGCUGUGUACAUGCAUCUGUGUGCUUCUGGCCCAUAUUUCCCUCAUCACUCAACGGUCUUCCCCUGUUCCCUCCUAUGGAAUGAAGAUACGGCCACAUUCAGCAUGUCAGUUUACAUGUCAGUUUGAUCCAAAUCUGAGAAAAACUAAUUCCAUCUCAGUCCUUUCUCAUCUCCCCACCCACUCAGUUUUCCAGAUUUCCAGAACUGUUGGUAUCCACUUUGACACAGAGGUAGAUGCUCUAUUAGCCAUGUAAAUGGUAGGGCAAGGAAGUUCAGAAGAAAAGGAUGUGGAAAGACACCAUAUACAUAGCUUCACAUUCUUGUCACUCACUCAUCAUGUCCAUUUUCAUUUCUUUAUAAAAUAGUAUUUUUUUGCCAUUUUAAAAUUUUAAUUGAAAAAAAGCACCGAAUUCAUUUUGUAUUAUAUCAAUUUUCAAUUGGGGAUAUAUAAAUUGCAAUGAAUUAACAUUAUUAAGCCAGUAAAAGAAAAUUCUUGAGCUAGGUGGUGGUGGCACAUGCCUUUAAUCCUGGCAUGGUGGGGGCGGGUGAGUGGAGGAGGCAGAGGUAGGCCAAUCUCUGAUUUCGAGGCUAAUCUGGUCUAGAGUGAUUCCAGGAUAGCCAAGCGUUCACAAAGAAACCGUCUCUCAAAAAUGCAAACCAA